UGAUCGCAAGGAAUGAGCAAAGGGAUUGUAAAGGAAGUAACGCCUUCGUCGUCCUGUGUCGCCCUGGCCGAAAAUCGUGCUUUUUCCAGUUUCAGAGGCGUCCGAUGGCAUAUCAAACUCGGAAUUUUACCUUCUUCUUUAAUUGAUGAUCUCAGAAGAGUAACAGCUGAUUCUCCCAGAAGGUAACCCUUUUGUUUUUUCCGUCACCUUCCUUUUUAUUUUAUAUGGAGAAAAAACCAGAAUUAGAGUCAGAAUAUGUAAUUUUGAGCUUCUUUUCAUGUUCAUAUUGUUUCAAAAAAACAUUAUUUUUUAAAAUUAAAUUACAAUAAUCAAUUAUGAGAGUUUUUAUUUCCAUUUUUACAUUUUUUAUAGAAUAAAAUCUAACUGUUGUAGUCUCAAAUCUCUGGUUUUAUGAGCAUUUAUAUAUGCUGGUUUGAGAAGGCAACUGCUGGUGGAUCCACACGUUCCAAAAGAUGGAGCAAGAAAUUCCCCCGAUCUUGUUAUGGAUAAUCCACUCUCACAAAACCCAGGUAAUUGUAAUUUCUCUGCUUUCUUUUGCUGCAUCGCUUUGAUUUUUAGUUCAGCAGUGUUUCUUGGAUUUGGGAUCUUUUCCUGAAGAUAAGAAAAUCCCCCUUGAUGUUCUUGUAAAUAUGUGGGUUGAAAUCCAUAAUAUUGACGAAGAAGAACCUUUUGCAAUUCUUAUGGAGCUUUCUGAUAAGAACCUACUCACUCUGGUCAAAGAUACUCGGGCUGGAGAUGCGUUCUGCAGUUACUAUGAAAUAUGUGUUACUCAGCAUGAUGUGUUGAGAGACCUUGCUAUUCAUCUAAGCAAUCAGGGAUCAAUAGUUUAAUCUACUAAACAUAUUAUAUUACAGGGGUAAAAGAUCAUGAGAGAAGAUCACUACGAAUAUGUUAAAUAAAAAAAUCAACUAAGACAAAAGAUUACAAAGUUUGAUAAUUACGAAUAUGUAAAAUUUAUCACUGAUCCUUGAUUACAAAUCAAACAAAGUUUGAUAAUGAUAGGUGUGUUUAAUGUCUGUAAAAAGUUGCAAUAGCAUCAUAUAGUUGUUGGACUGAAAAAGUUUCAGCAUUGAUCCCAUGUGUACACACUGUCCUAAUUUAGCUCCAAACGGGUACGACACUUGUGAUUACAUAUGUUCAAUAUAAUCGUUAGGUUCUCUCAUUUCAGCAGCUUCUAUGCUUCUCAAUAAUGCCUUAGACCGCAUCACUAAUGAAACAAUUGGUUUUCCUGGUUCAGUCGUGUUAGUAGUUGGGCCAGUGAUUAUAUACACUGUUACUAGUAGUGUUGCAGUGAUUGUACAGAUUUUGCUUUCAAAUUAGAGACAUCCAUUCCCCUUCAGGUCAUUUGGAGACAUUUUGUGAGUAAUAUGUGACGGUGCUGAUUAUGUAUUUGAUGAAAGUGUUAUUUUUACAGUUAUGAAUCACCAUAUUGGAGAAGCCUUGCAGCAACUCGUAUUCAGGUGUCAUGGAGAUGCAGGAAAAAAUGUCUUAAUCGUGCUGACACCUCUCAAUCCUUGGGAUAGAAACUAUUUCAGCUUUUGCAAAUAACUGAAGAAUUGUCAAGGUGGCCGUGGUUGUUUGGGUGCGGAAGGAGUCCUACGUGUGAGCUUGGGAUGUUUUGCAUUCUUUUUUGUAAUGUUCCUUUCAACUGCUCGCACCCACCCUCGAAAACCUGUUUAAAUACCAACUAGACAUCAAACAUCCAUGACAAACGGAAAGACAACAUGAAAAAUGAGAUUAACCUUG